UACGGAAGGCAGCAGUGGGGAAUAUUGCACAAUGGGCGAAAGCCUGAUGCAGCUAUGCCGCGUGUAUGAAGAAGGCCUUAGGGUUGUAAAGUACUUUCAUCGGGGAGGAAAAAACAAAACUAAUAAUUUUAUUUCUUGACGUUACCCGAAAAAGAAGCACCGGCUAACUCCGUGCCAGCAGCCGCGGUAAUACGGAGGGUGCUAGCGUUAAUCAGAAUUACUGGGCGUAAAGAGCACGUAGGUGGUUUUUUUAAGUCAGAUGUGAAAUCCCUGGGCUUAACCUGGAACUGCAUUUUGAAACUGAAAUACUAGAGUAUCGUAGGGGGAGGUAGAAUUCUAGGUGUAGCGGUGAAAUGCGUAGAUAUCUGGAGGAAUACCUGUGGCGAAAGCGGCCUCCUAAACGAAUACUGACACUGAGGGUGCGAAAGCGUGGGGAGCAAACAGGGAUUAGAUACCCGU
rnacentral:rRNA from 1 species